GCAUUUCAACAGUUUCAUGCGGUCUUUCUUUUGAAUACAAAAGCUAACAGAACGCACAGUGAUUGCUAAUUAUACCAAUGAAAAAUAAAGCAAUGGGUACGAUGGAAGUGCUGGAAACUGAAGAGUUCAACGGAUGCAGCAGAUAGGUACCAUGGCUGCUUCUCUCCACUCGCGUGUCCUCGGCUGAACUCGGGCUCCGCGCGCGCUCAUUAUUAUGUCUGACGCCAACAGAACAGAAGUGCCGCGUUCCAUCUGCCUGAGCGGCGCGUUCCCGGCCAGAAUACUAACGAGCGCUCCAAGUCCAAAAUCACUGCCUAUCUCCAUGCACCUCGCCAGUGAAUCAAGGCAAUCAAUACGCCGCCACGCAGCGGUGCCCGCGAAUAUGCGCGUGAACGGCACGCAGAGAGACCGGCGUCGGUACCGCUCUGUGCCCAAGACCGAAACGGGGACGUGCGCUACAUGAUGUCGGACUUUGCAGUUUUUACAGAAAUCUCUAACAUUGACUGUGCAUUAACAAUCUGAUACAAAAUAUUACUGCGCUUAGCUGUCAACUGGUUUAAUUUGAAUGACCUUAAGCGGACUCACCCAGAGGCUAUGAAGACGUUUGGUGACGGCAGUGCUAGAUGCCACCUAUAUCCACAUUCCCCUGCAGGGAAGAGCCUUUGAUUCUGGGAAAAGCACAGAAGUACGUCAGUGUUUUUCUACAUGAAGAUGACCUGCCCGCUCUUGCUCUGUGACACAGUGAUGUCGCCCCCGGGUGUGUUUGGAUGACCGCAGACGUUAGGAGACCGGGAAGAAGAAACAGAGAAAAGAGUAAAAGAAAAUCAGAGAAGGAAAAGAAGAGGAGAAGGCAGUCCAGUCCACACCCUGAGAUCCAGAACUCGACACUCUCAUCGGACCGGAACCACGGACCCGCUCUCUC